UGAAAAAUCAAAAAACAGAAAUAAAAUCAGACUUCUUUAGAAGCGCAAUAAUUACGCCUUUUUCCUGCCCAAUCAGAACUUAUCUCUUGCCGUCUUGUCCCUUCAUCUGACAUUUCUUCAUCAAGACACUUUCAUAUCCCCAAAGGGAGCACUUCUCCAUCAAAUCCAUUGGUAUCCCUCUUCAAACUCCCCAAUUUCACUUUCUUCCUUCCAUUUUCAAUCUGGUUCUCUCGCCCUGUCCCUCUCCUCUUACUUCUCUACAGAUUCUGGAACACUUCCUACCAGGUAUAUUUCCUCCUUAUUCUUCAACGUUUCAUUUGCUAAAAGAUGAGCUAAACUGUUUGCUAUUUGUGGGAUGAAUUCAAAUCUACAUUCCCUAAAUUUUAACAAAAGCUGAUGAAUAUCAUGAAUAUAAGCGCCUACCAGAGACUUGUCUGGGCUUUUCGCCUUGCAUUUUUUUAUUAUUGACAAGGAAUCUCCUUCAAUAAUAAUUUUUUACCAUUGCAUGUCAAUACCGAUCUGGGUCGCUUUCCGGCACGCGAGUGCCUCAGCAACGAAAGUAGAUGCAACUCGUUGAUGGAUCUCCGUACACGAUAAAAGAACACUUCCUUCGCUAUUUCUGGCCACGACCCCUACUGCCGAUUGGCAAGUUCUUGCAUCAUAUGCGGCAUCAAAAUUAAUCUUCACAACCUGAUCAGAUGGGUGCCUCCAUUUUCUAACAAUAAAAGAGUUCUGUGUAUUUCUUUUAUCACUCUCGUUUAGCUCUGAUAUAUAAUUAUUAACGAAAGUUACUAUUUUUUUCCAGAUUUACUAGCCUUCUUAUGCACUCCAGCGUUCCUGUCUCCCCAAAUGACCCAUAAAACAUAGCAAAAAAGCCUACACUGAGAUGGCGACCUCUGCGAAAAUACCCAGGCUAGGUAAAGUUGAAGUUUGGUGCAGCAUCCGAGUCAAUCCUAACCUCAGCUUAAUUUCUGGUGAAGAAUCUAUCUUUUGGAAAUGUGGCAUGUAUUAGGUUUUGUUUUAGUCACUUAAAUAUAUUUAUGUUUUGGGUGUAAGUAAUUUGUAACUUUUAAGAAGUAUUUGAAAUGAAUAGAUGAAUGUUAUUUGGUCAA